CCGUGUUUUUAUUUCAGGAUAGCGUCUAUGUGCCAAUACAGUUUGGAUUAUUGACACAUUUAAAAACAGAAAACUUGUGCCCAUGUCUAAAUAGGAAAAUGCAAGAAAAGAUUUCUGGUAAAAUUUGAUGCAUUUACCUGGUUUGAUAAAGAAAGAGAUCAGUUUAAAAAAGAAUCAGAAUCCUUCGAAUACUUUUAAAAAUUCUAUUAUAACAUCACUUUUGUUCAAGAGGAGCAAAAAGCUUUAGAGAACUAUUCUAAGUUGGUGUCACUUAAGUGAAUUUUGAUCUUUAAAUAACCAUCUGUAUUUGGCUACCAUCUGAUAUUGGUCUGUAUAGAGCUAAAUUUACAGUCCCUUUUCCCAAACAUAAAGAAAAAAAGAGCAAAACUAAGGCAGGUUAAAAACACGUUCUGUUAGUAGCUGCUUCAACCGAAACACAGGCAUCAGUUUUCCUUCCUCAUCAUAGUGUCACUAAUGACAUUUUGCAAAUGCGGAUUGCGUUUUUUUCUUCUGAGCAAUUUAUAAAGAAGGUAUAGGGGUUCAUUCUAUCAUUUGACCAGCUUAGUUACUUAACAAGACUGACGGAAGAUCCAACCUGAUCAGGUCAACUGUAAUCCAGCCUUUAAGUGAGAAGGAAUAGAAAACUCAGAAGCUGUCGAAAGGUCCAUUGAAGUGAAAGGAAAACACAUCCCUGCUUCUGAAGACCCUGAAAUAAUUUGGAAAAAAAAAAAAGUGAUCAGUGGUUUUGACUCUAAAGCUUAUUCUAAGGCGUUUUAAAGAUAAAUGGUAAACCCGAACUGGAAAUCCAUCUGGCCGGCUGCCUGCUCUAAUGAAUAACCCCACUUUGGCGCGUGCAAUGUAAGCAGAAAGUUCUCUCCCGGCCUCUUUCGUCUGUCAUGAAUCUACGAGACAGCCGACAUAAUAUCUGGGCGACAACGGGUGCGCUAACAGUGCACCUCAAAAUGGCCUAUGGUAUUUCUAUGAAGACUGGACUCUCAAAACCAUUCAAAGAAUUUAUAUCUUUGUUAAACUACACGGUCAUCAAGCCAAUAUUUAGCCAUGACCUUGGUGAGAUGCAGCCAUGAGUAAGAUAUUCCUCAUGUCCUCAUGUAACUUGUAUAAUGUAACACAGAGGACAUAAACAAAAGACUUUAACUUUUACUUAUUUUCAGUGUGGCAAGUGAAUUUCUUGUGUUUGACUUUCAAACCUUAAUUAAAGUUCUUUAACUUUCUUUAGGAGCAGACUCUUGCCUGGAAAAUCCAUGGACAGAGGAGCCUGGUAGGCUGCAGUCCAUGGGGUCGCAAGAGUCAGAUACGACUGAGCGACUUCACUUUCACUUUUCACUUUCAUGCAUUGGAGAAGGAAAUGGCAACCCACUCCAGUGUUCUUGCCUGGAGGAUCCCAGGGAUGGGGGAGCCUGGUGGGCUGCCGUCUAUGGGGUCGCACAGAGUCGGACACGACUGAAGUGACUUAGCAGCAGGAGCAGACUCUAAGAUUCCUAAGCCCAAUAUUUAACCUAUAAAUUUUCCUUCUUGAGUUUUUUAAAAGUCUUACAUCUUUUUGCUGAUUUUGACCUUAAAGAACCAAAUGGAUAUGGGAGAAGAAUGAUAAAGCAAGAUACUCUACAAGGGGAGAGAUCCAGGGACAUCCUAGAGUACAGGGGACAUGAACAAGAAGCAGGGCCUGAUGAGUCUUUGAAUAAAAGUCAGUCAUGAAGCUAUCCCA
ensembl:lncRNA